UAGGGAAUCUUCCACAAUGGACGAAAGUCUGAUGGAGCAACGCCGCGUGAGUGAAGAAGGUUUUCGGAUCGUAAAGCUCUGUUGUUGGUGAAGAAGGAUAGAGGCAGUAACUGGUCUUUAUUUGACGGUAAUCAACCAGAAAGUCACGGCUAACUACGUGCCAGCAGCCGCGGUAAUACGUAGGUGGCAAGCGUUGUCCGGAUUUAUUGGGCGUAAAGCGAGCGCAGGCGGAAUGAUAAGUCUGAUGUGAAAGCCCACGGCUCAACCGUGGAACUGCAUCGGAAACUGUCAUUCUUGAGUGCAGAAGAGGAGAGUGGAACUCCAUGUGUAGCGGUGGAAUGCGUAGAUAUAUGGAAGAACACCAGUGGCGAAGGCGGCUCUCUGGUCUGCAACUGACGCUGAGGCUCGAAAGCAUGGGUAGCGAACAGGAUUAGAUACCCUGGUAGUCCAUGCCGUAAACGAUGAGCGCUAGGUGUUGGGGACUUUCCGGUCCUCAGUGCCGCAGCAAAAUCGCAUUAAGC
rnacentral:rRNA from 1 species